CCUCAAACUCUGUCUUCUUCUCUCGACCACGCCUCUCUCUUUCUCCCCCCGACCUAUCUCUCUCUUCUCCUUCCCUCUGCCACCACCGGAGACCCCAGCUCCGGCCACCAUCUCACUACACCGCCUCCAUCAAUCGACGCAGCACCAAAAGGCCAAAGCCCAAGCCUCACCUUCGACAUGCACCGCCUGCAGCCACCAUACGCGGCCACCACAGUUGCGACACCACUGCCCUUCCUCCUCCGUCGAUUUCCGACCAUCACCUCACCACAACGACACCACUGCCUGACUCAGUAAGCAACGAGGAGUAAAACCCAGAGAGUCCUCUUCACCGAUCGACGCCGCACGACGCCACACGAGCAUCGUCGGAGCUCGAGGCACUGCAUGCCUCCGUUCUUCAAUCUCCAGUCCAAAACGAGCCAAACCACCACCAUAAAUGGUAUCAGCACCUAUCCUUAACCCAAAUCCCGACCUCCGACUUCGGCCAGAACCACCGCAAACGCCGCCGCCGGCGCGUGGGCCCACCUAGCGUCAACGUGAGCCCC
rnacentral:lncRNA from 1 species